UUUCCUCUGUGAGCCUUCCCUUUUAAAAGCAUGCCCUUUGACACGUCUCAGCUCUGCCAAAGUUCACUGUUUAUCUGCUUUUCCAGAAGCCAUCGGCUGGGGGAGUCAAGGUUCACCUGUGAGCCAAGGGGGCACGUGGGCAGCCAUCCAUUCCUGCAUUUCGCUGACCAUCUGAGGGAGAGAUGCUGCUCGCAGCGUAAUGCAAUGGAAGGCUCCUCCCCGGGAGGGGAGUGUCGGUGCCAGGAAGGACAUCAAAGUGUGGUGCUGUGGGAGUGUUGAAAGCCAGGGAGAGAGAACAUGGGACAGAUGCUGCUGGAGAAGGACACCUGAGCGGAGGUGCACGUGGGGCAACCGGCCUGUCUGGCUGCCGGACCAGAGAGGGCACCGUCUAGAAGUCGUUUUUGAUUAGAAGUUGACCUCAGAAGUACGCUCGCAUCAUUUUGAAAGCAUCUGACAGCACCACAGAAACUGACUCAGAAUGAGAAAGGACGCAGUGGACGAAGGCCAGGACCAGGGCCUUCCCACACGGCUCUCGGGGGUAUCACUGGCCUGAGUCAAAGUUGGGAUGCCGUCCCCCGUCAGACCCCCGGAUACCUGCAUGGACAUGGGGCCAGCUCGGAGUGAUAGUGGUGACUGUCAUCAUCGUGGCCGUCAUCACGUGACACUGGCUGAUAUUACUGAGUCCUUAUUACACCUGAAGGCCAGAAGUCCAAAAUCAAGGUGUCAGAAGGGCCACACUCCCUCCAAAUGUUCUAGCUAGGGAGGAAUCCUUCACUGCUUUUUCCGGUUUCUGGUGGCUCUGGGUGUUCCUUGGCUUGUAGCCUGAGAACCCCAACCUCUGCCCCCAUCUUUACGUGGCCUUUUCCUCCUCUUAUAAGGACACUUGUCAUUGGACUUAGCCCCCCACCCAGAAAAUCCAGGAUGAUCUCAAGAUCAUUAACAAUGCCAAGGACCCUUUUCCCAAAUAAGGUAACAUUCACAGGGUCCUGGUGGAUAUUUGGGUGGGGGACACCAUUCAACCUACUACAGCCAAUAAGGCCUAUUUCCCCCCAUUAAGUGGGAGCUUCCUGAGGAUGGAAACUGGGCUCGCUCCUUCCUUCCUUCCUUCCUUCCUUCCUUCCUUCCUUCCUUCCCUCCUUCCUUCCU